rnacentral:lncRNA from 1 species
UUUCCAAGAAGACAAAUCAUCUUGAUGGGCUGUUGUUGCUGGUACCACGACAUUCUCAACAGAAGGAACAUCAGGACUGGGAUCUGACCGCUCCACAUCAUAAAACUCAUCCUCUGAAUCUCCCUCUGUCACUCCUUUUGGUGAUUUAACAUCUUCAACUAUAGAGACUUGCUUCUCAUUCUUAUCAUCUUGCUGCUCCUUGAAU